AGAAGAUCUCUGAUACAAACGAGGCCUGCGGAGGAAGAAGUAGUAGGAGAUGAAGCGGUGCGUAUACCAGUCCCGUACCAUCUAGGAAACCUUAAGGUUAUUAAGAAAAUGUUCAAAGGAACUAGGAAACGGAUGGUGAUCAAGAGAAAUCCAACAGUGUAUAAUGUAUUGCGAAAUGAGAAAGACCCUUUAGAGCAUUCGGAGAGGAGGGGCGUCUAUAAGGUGCCUAUAUCUUACAACAACUCGGAGCGGGGGUCUGCAUAUGUUGGUGUCGCGACGCGGACGAUGGGCACUGGGAUGCGGGAGCGUGGAGGAGAUGUAUGUCGAGCGGACCUGGACACGAUGCUUGCAGUUGAAGCUUGUAGUGGUGACGUGAAUAU
rnacentral:lncRNA from 1 species